UCAAAUUUGAAAUCUGGCACCUUCGGUGUCCGAGUUGUAAUUUGAAGAAGGUAACUUUGGAGUUGGCUCUUGUCUAUGUUCCUUGGAACAGGACGUCACAGAGGGUGAGAAUCCCGUGCGAUGAGAUGUCCAACUCUAUGUAAAGUGCUUUCGAAGAGUCGAGUUGUUUGGGAAUGCAGCUCUAAGUGGGUGGUAAAUUCCAUCUAAAGCUAAAUAUUGGCGAGAGACCGAUAGCGAACAAGUACAGUGAUGGAAAGAUGAAAAGAACUUUGAAAAGAGAGUGAAAAAGUACGUGAAAUUGUUGAAAGGGAAGGGUUUGAGAUCAGACUUGGUAUUUUGUAUGUCUUGCUUUCGGGUGGGGCCUCUGCAGUUUACUGGGCCAGCAUCGGUUUGGACGGUAGGAUAAUGACAUUGGAAUGUGGCACUACUUCGGUGGUGUGUUAUAGACUUUGUUGAUACUGCCUGUCUAGACCGAGGACUGCGUCUUUGACUAGGAU
rnacentral:rRNA from 1 species